rnacentral:ncRNA from 1 species
AAUAUUGCGAUGAACAGAAGUAUUAGGAAUCGAGUGGAUUUUCAGAGAGCCGGGUUUGCUGUGAAACGGUAAUUUUUAGAUUUUGAACUCAUCUGCGAGCAGUUGCCUGAAUUUUUAAGGUUAAACGGAAUUCCACCGUUAUAAGGAUAGAUGGUAUAAACUAUAUUUUUAAAAUGUGGAGUGCUGUUGAAAAGUGGGUUUUUAAUUUAAACCAAUUGGAGUGGUACCGCGGGUUAGCCUCGUCUCUUUA